GACGAACGCUGGCGGCGUGCUUAACACAUGCAAGUCGUACGAUGACCCGGCUCUUCGGAGCUGGUGAUUAGUGGCGAACGGGUGAGUAACACGUGGGUGACCUGCCCUGCACUCUGGGAUAAGCCCGGGAAACUGGGUCUAAUACUGGAUACGACCAGUGGCCGCAUGGUCUGCUGGUGGAAAGCCCUUCGGGGUGGUGUGGGAUGGGCCCGCGGCCUAUCAGCUUGUUGGUGGGGUGAUGGCCUACCAAGGCGACGACGGGUAGCCGGCCUGAGAGGGUGUCCGGCCACGCUGGGACUGAGACACGGCCCAGACUCCUACGGGAGGCAGCAGUGGGGAAUCUUGCACAAUGGGCGAAAGCCUGAUGCAGCGACGCCGCGUGAGGGAUGACGGCCUUCGGGUUGUAAACCUCUUUCGGCAGGGAACAAGCCUGGGGGUUUUCUUCUGGGUGAGGGUACCUGCGGAAGAAGCACCGGCUAACUACGUG
rnacentral:rRNA from 1 species